GCCUUUGUAGCUCAGUUGGUAGAGCAGUUGACUUUUAAUCAUCGGGUCGCAGGUUCAACUCCUGCCAGGGGCAC
rnacentral:tRNA from 1 species